rnacentral:rRNA from 1 species
AUUGAACGCUGGCGGCAGGCCUAACACAUGCAAGUCGAACGAGUGGCGGACGGGUGAGUAAUGUCUGGGAAACUGCCCGAUGGAGGGGGAUAACUACUGGAAACGGUAGCUAAUACCGCAUACCAUCGGAUGUGCCCAGAUGGGAUUAGCUAGUAGGUGGGGUAACGGCUCACCUAGGCGACGAUCCCUAGCUGGUCGUAGAGGAUGACCAGCACAACGGGAACUUAGACACGGUCCAGACUCCUACGGGAGGACGCAGUGGGGAAUAUUGCACAAUGGGCGCAAGCCUGAUGCAGCCAUGCCGCGUGUAUGAAGAAGGCCUUCGGGUUGUAAAGUACUUUCAGCGAGGAGGCGUUACUCGCAGCAGAAGCACCGGCUAACUCCGUGCCAGCAGCCGCGGUAAUUC